rnacentral:rRNA from 1 species
UACGUAGGUGACAAGCGUUGUCCGGAUUUACUGGGCGUAAAGAGCGCGCAGGCGGUCGUUCAAGUCGAGUGUGAAAGCCCCCGGCUCAACUGGGGAGGGUCACUCGAUACUGAUCGACUCGAAGGCAGGAGAGGGUAGUGGAAUUCCCGGUGUAGUGGUGAAAUGCGUAGAUAUCGGGAGGAACACCCGUGGCGAAGGCGGCUCACUGGGGCUGACCUUGACGCUGAGGCGCGAAGGCGUGGGGAGCGAACGGG